CAAGAUUAAGCCAUGCAAGUCUAAGUUUAAGCACCUAAACGGCGAAACUGCGAAUGGCUCAUUAAAUCAGUUAUCGUAUAUUUGAUAGUACCUACUACAUGGAUAACCGUGGUAAUUCUAGAGCUAAUACAUGCUUAAAAUCCCGACUUCGGAAGGGAUGUAUUUAUUAGAUUAAAAACCAAUGCCCUUCGGGGCUCACUGGUGAUUCAUAAUAACUUCUCGAAUCGCAUGGCCUUGUGCCGGCGAUGGUUCAUUCAAAUUUCUGCCCUAUCAACUUUCGACGGCUGGGUCUUGGCCAGCCGUGGUUACAACGGGUAACGGAGGGUUAGGGCUUGACCCCGGAGAAGGAGCCUGAGAAACGGCUACUACAUCCAAGGAAGGCAGCAGGCGCGCAAAUUACCCAAUCCCGAUACGGGGAGGUAGUGACAAUAAAUACUGAUACAGGGCUCUUUUGGGUCUUGUAAUUGGAAUGAGUACAAUUUAAAUCCCUUAACGAGGAACAAUUGGAGGGCAAGUCUGGUGCCAGCAGCCGCGGUAAUUCCAGCUCCAAUAGCGUAUAUUAAAGUUGUUGCAGUUAAAAAGCUCGUAGUUGAACCUUGGGCCUGGCUGGCCGGUCUGCCUCACCGCAUGCACUGGUCCGGCCGGGCCUUUCCCUCUGGGGAGCCGCAUGCCCUUCACUGGGUGUGUCGGGGAACCAGGACUUUUACUGUGAAAAAAUUAGAGUGUUCAAAGCAGGCCUAUGCUCGAAUACAUUAGCAUGGAAUAAUAGAAUAGGACGUUGCGGUUCUAUUUUGUUGGUUUCUAGGACCGCCGUAAUGAUUAAUAGGGACAGUCGGGGGCAUCAGUAUUCAAUCGUCAGAGGUGAAAUUCUUGGAUCGAUUGAAGACUAACUACUGCGAAAGCAUUUGCCAAGGAUGUUUUCAUUAAUCAGGAACGAAAGUUAGGGGAUCGAAAACGAUCAGAUACCGUUGUAGUCUUAACCAUAAACUAUGCCGACUAGGGAUCGGGCGAUGUUUUUCUUUGACUCGCUCGGCACCUUACACGAAAGUAAAGUUUUUGGGUUCUGGGGGGAGUAUGGUCGCAAGCUGAACUAA
rnacentral:rRNA from 1 species